rnacentral:rRNA from 1 species
UACGGGGGGGGCAAGCGUUGUUCGGAAUUACUGGGCGUAAAGGGCUCGUAGGCGGCCCACUAAGUCAGACGUGAAAUCCCUCGGCUUAACCGGGGAACGGCGUCUGAUACUGGAGGGCUUGAGUUCGGGAGAGGGAUGCGGAAUUCCAGGUGUAGCGGUGAAAUGCGUAGAUAUCUGGAGGAACACCGGUGGCGAAGGCGGCAUCCUGGACCGGUAUUGACGCUGAGGCGCGAAAGCCAGGGGAGCAAACGGG